rnacentral:rRNA from 1 species
UGCCAGCCGCCGCGGUAAUACGGAGAGGGCAAGCGUUGUUCGGAUUCACUGGGCAUAAAGCGCACGUAGGCGGGUUUUCAAGUCGGUUGUGAAAUCCCGGGGCUCAACCCCGGAACUGCUUCCGAAACUGAAAGCCUGGAGGACGAGAGGGGAGAGUGGAACUUCUGGUGGAGCGGUGAAAUGCGUAGAUAUCAGAAGGAACACCGGUGGCGAAAGCGACUCUCUGGCUCGUAUCUGACGCUGAGGUGCGAAAGCUUGGGUAGCGAACGGGAUUAGAUA